CAGCAUGAGUGAUGCCAUUUUGGGCCUGUGGUUUUCUCCUUAACACAGUAAAGGGCUAGAGCAGGCGUCCUCAAACUACUA